UACGGGGGGGGGUAAGCGUUGUUCGGAAUUACUGGGCGUAAAGGGCUCGUAGGCGGCCAACUAAGUCAGACGUGAAAUCCCUCAGCUUAACUGGGGAACUGCGUCUGAUACUGGAUGGCUUGGAUCCGGAAGAGGGAUGCGGAAUUCCAGGUGUAGCGGUGAAAUGCGUAGAUAUCUGGAGGAACACCGGUGGCGAAGGCGGCAUCCUGGGCCGGUAUUGACGCUGAGGAGCGAAAGCCAGGGGAGCAAACGGG
rnacentral:rRNA from 1 species